rnacentral:rRNA from 1 species
CCUACGGGGGGCUGCAGUGGGGAAUAUUGGACAAUGGGGGGAACCCUGAUCCAGCCAUGCCGCGUGUGUGAAGAAGGCCCUCGGGUUGUAAAGCACUUUCAGUGAGGAAGAACGCCUGGUGGUUAAUACCCAGCAGGAAAGACAUCACUCACAGAAGAAGCACCGGCUAACUCCGUGCCAGCAGCCGCGGUAAUACGGAGGGUGCGAGCGUUAAUCGGAAUUACUGGGCGUAAAGCGCGCGUAGGUGGCUUGAUAAGCCGGUUGUGAAAGCCCCGGGCUCAACCUGGGAACGGCAUCCGGAACUGUCAAGCUAGAGUGCGGGAGAGGAAGGUAGAAUUCCCGGUGUAGCGGUGAAAUGCGUAGAGAUCGGGAGGAAUACCAGUGGCGAAGGCGGCCUUCUGGACUGACACUGACACUGAGGUGCGAAAGCGUGGGUAGCAAACAGGAUUAGAUACCCUAGUAGUC